rnacentral:lncRNA from 1 species
UGGUUUGCAAAAUGUUUAAUUUCCCCUAAAAAAUAAAACUCUAAAGAAAACAAAAUAUUUUUUGUGUUUUUUGUGCCCGACAAGGAUUGACCUUGCUCCUACGUAUUCUCAGUUGGACUGAGAAAUCAAGGUUACGUAGUUAUUUAGGAAACCAUUUGGAAAAUUUGUUUGGAGAAUUGUUUGGAAAGUUUGUUUGGAAAAUUUGGAUUUUUGGGAAAGUGAGCCUGACAAGGACUAGCCUUACUCCUACGUAUCUCCACUUUGGAUGGAGAAUCAAGGAUCACGUAGUUCUGGCUGAAAGAUUGAUUGUUUGUUUGUCAAGAUGUUUUUUAGUUUUUAAAGAUUU